GCAAACUUGGUCAUUUAGAGGAAGUAAAAGUCGUAACAAGGUUUCCGUAGGUGAACCUGCGGAAGGAUCAUUAUUGAAAAAUAUUGGUUUGUAUUGUUGCUGGCUUGUAAAGCAUGUGCACAUACUCUCCAUUUUUUUUCUUUAAACCACAUGUGAACGCUUUGUAGACCUGGGAUCUUUUCAAACCUCUUGUUUGGAGUAUAUCGGAUUGCUGGAACAAAUGUGACUGGCUUUUCUCCGCUUGGGUCUAUAGAUUUAUAAACUAUCCAAUGUGUAUGAAUGCUGUGAAUAUAAAAACAUAAUACAACUUUCAACAACGGAUCUCUUGGCUCUCGCAUCGAUGAAGAACGCAGC
rnacentral:misc_RNA from 1 species